AGGCCUAAACAUGCAAGUCGAGCGGCAGCGGGGAAGUAGCUUGCUACUUUUGCCGGCGAGCGGGGGACGGGGGAGUAAUGCCUGGGGAUCUGCCCAGUCGAGGGGGAUAACUACUGGAAACGGUAGCUAAUACCGCAUACGCCCUACGGGGGAAAGCAGGGGACCUUCGGGCCUUGCGCGAUUGGAUGAACCCAGGUGGGAUUAGCUAGUUGGUGAGGUAAUGGCUCACCAAGGCGACGAUCCCUAGCUGGUCUGAGAGGAUGAUCAGCCACACUGGAACUGAGACACGGUCCAGACUCCUACGGGAGGCAGCAGUGGGGAAUAUUGCACAAUGGGGGAAACCCUGAUGCAGCCAUGCCGCGUGUGUGAAGAAGGCCUUCGGGUUGUAAAGCACUUUCAGCGAGGAGGAAAGGUUGGUAGCGAAUAACUGCCAGCUGUGACGUUACUCGCAGAAGAAGCACCGGCUAACUCCGUGCCAGCAGCCGCGGUAAUACGGAGGGUGCAAGCGUUUAUCGGAAUUACUGGGCGUAAAGCGCACGCAGGCGGUUGGAUAAGUUAGAUGUGAAAGCCCCGGGCUCAACCUGGGAAUUGCAUUUAAAACUGUCCAGCUAGAGUCUUGUAGAGGGGGGUAGAAUUUCCACGUGUAGCGGUGAAAUGCGUAGAGAUCUGGAGGAAUACCGGUGGCGAAGGCGGCCCCCUGGACAAAGACUGACGC
rnacentral:rRNA from 1 species